rnacentral:lncRNA from 1 species
CCGCCGCCCUCGGCGCUGUCGCGGAGCCGCCUGUGCCCCGUCCCGCCCGCGCUUCUCGGGGUGCCGGGGGAAAGAGGCGGCUACCAGCCGUGCGCUGUGACUGGUGAAGCGUGAGCAAAACUUGUGCUGUACCGGUUGGUUCUUCCAGGCUUGCUGAGGUGUUUGAGUGUGUCUUAUUGGAAUGGUGAGGGAGCAAGGGCCUGAUGGAAGGGAAGGAAACAAGAACCUCCUGAGUUGAAACUCCAUCUGCAGUCCCUACACAAGGACCCCUGUUUUUUCCUGGAUAAGGAGUUUGCAAUUCUGUCUGGAAGGCACACAAUUAUAGUCUGUCAGUCAGACCUGUAGGAGUCAUGUGAGUCACCUUUGACUUCACUCUUUUUUUG